rnacentral:rRNA from 1 species
GUUGUAGUCUGGAGAAGUGCUUUCCGCGCUGGACCGUGUAUAAGUCUCUUGGAACAGAGCGUCAUAGAGGGUGAGAAUCCCGUCUUUGACACGGACUACCAGUGCUUUGUGAUGCGCUCUCAAAGAGUCGAGUUGUUUGGGAAUGCAGCUCAAAAUGGGUGGUGAAUUCCAUCUAAAGCUAAAUAUUGGCGAGAGACCGAUAGCGAACAAGUACCGUGAGGGAAAGAUGAAAAGCACUUUGGAAAGAGAGUUAAACAGUACGUGAAAUUGCUGAAAGGGAAACGCUUGAAGUCAGUCGCGUCUGCCGGAACUCAGCCUUCCUUUUGGUUGGUGCACUUUCUGGUAGACGGGCCAGCAUCGAUUUUGACCGUAGGAUAAGGGCUGGAGAAAUGUGGCACCUUCGGGUGUGUUAUAGUCUUCAGUCGCAUACUACGGUUGGGAUCGAGGACCGCAGCGCGCCGCAAGGCAGGGGUUCGCCCACUUUCGCGCUUAGGAUGCUGGCAUAAUGGCUUUAAACGACCCGUCUUGAAACACGGACCAAGGAGUCUAACAAACCUGCGAGUGUUUGGGUGGAAAACCCGAGCGCGUAAUGAAAGUGAAAG